AACGGCCAUACCAUGCUGAAUAUACCGGUUCUCCGGUUCUGGUUAGAUCACCGAAGUCAAGCAUCAUUGGGCCGGGUCAGUACAUGGGUGGGUGACCACCUGGGAACACCGCGUGCCGUU